UACGUAGGGUGCAAGCGUUGUCCGGAAUUAUUGGGCGUAAAGAGCUCGUAGGCGGUUUGUCGCGUCUGCUGUGAAAACUCGGGGCUUAACUCCGGGCCUGCAGUGGGUACGGCAGACUAGAGUGCGGUAGGGGAGACUGGAAUUCCUGGUGUAGCGGUGAAAUGCGCAGAUAUCAGGAGGAACACCGGUGGCGAAGGCGGGUCUCUGGGCCGAUACUGACGCUGAGGAGCGAAAGCGUGGGGAGCGAACAGG
rnacentral:rRNA from 1 species